UACGUAGGGUCUGAGCGUUGUCCGGAGUUACUGGGCGUAAAGCGCGCGCAGGCGGCCCGCGAGGUGUCACGUGAAAGCCCCGGGCUCAACUCGGGAGGGUCGUGGCAAACCGGCGGGCUUGAGGCCGGUAGAGGUGGGUGGAACUCCUGGUGGAGUGGUGAAAUGCGUAGAGAUCAGGAAGAACACCCGUGGCGAAGGCGGCCCACUGGGCCGGUACUGACGCUGAGGCGCGAAGGCGUGGGGAGCGAACGGG
rnacentral:rRNA from 1 species